GGCGCUUUAGUCUAGAGGUACGAUGCCUCUUUCGGGUGGUUAAAACCCGUCCUGUUUCAGGACUUAAGAACGUAGAGGUGGCCCCGGUUCGAGUCCGGGAAGCGCCC